UGACUGCGUACCUUUUGUAUAAUGGGUCAGCGACUUAUAUUCUGUAGCAAGGUUAACCGAAUAGGGGAGCCGAAGGGAAACCGAGUCUUAACUGGGCGUUAAGUUGCAGGGUAUAGACCCGAAACCCGGUGAUCUAGCCAUGGGCAGGUUGAAGGUUGGGUAACACUAACUGGAGGACCGAACCGACUAAUGUUGAAAAAUUAGCGGAUGACUUGUGGCUGGGGGUGAAAGGCCAAUCAAACCGGGAGAUAGCUGGUUCUCCCCGAAAGCUAUUUAGGUAGCGCCUCGUGAACUCAUCUCCGGGGGUAGAGCACUGUUUCGGCAAGGGGGUCAUCCCGACUUACCAACCCGAUGCAAACUGCGAAUACCGGAGAAUGUUAUCACGGGAGACACACGGCGGGUGCUAACGUCCGUCGUGAAGAGGGAAACAACCCAGACCGCCAGCUAAGGUCCCAAAGUCAUGGUUAAGUGGGAAACGAUGUGGGAAGGCCCAGACAGCCAGGAUGUUGGCUUAGAAGCAGCCAUCAUUUAAAGAAAGCGUAAUAGCUCACUGGUCGAGUCGGCCUGCGCGGAAGAUGUAACGGGGCUAAACCAUGCACCGAAGCUGCGGCAGCGACGCUUAUGCGUUGUUGGGUAGGGGAGCGUUCUGUAAGCCUGUGAAGGUGUGCUGUGAGGCAUGCUGGAGGUAUCAGAAGUGCGAAUGCUGACAUAAGUAACGAUAAAGCGGGUGAAAAGCCCGCUCGCCGGAAGACCAAGGGUUCCUGUCCAACGUUAAUCGGGGCAGGGUGAGUCGACCCCUAAGGCGAGGCCGAAAGGCGUAGUCGAUGGGAAACAGGUUAAUAUUCCUGUACUUGGUGUUACUGCGAAGGGGGGACGGAGAAGGCUAUGUUGGCCGGGCGACGGUUGUCCCGGUUUAAGCGUGUAGGCUGGUUUUCCAGGCAAAUCCGGAAAAUCAAGGCUGAGGCGUGAUGACGAGGCACUACGGUGCUGAAGCAACAAAUGCCCUGCUUCCAGGAAAAGCCUCUAAGCAUCAGGUAACAUCAAAUCGUACCCCAAACCGACACAGGUGGUCAGGUAGAGAAUACCAAGGCGCUUGAGAGAACUCGGGUGAAGGAACUAGGCAAAAUGGUGCCGUAACUUCGGGAGAAGGCACGCUGAUAUGUAGGUGAAGCGACUUGCUCGUGGAGCUGAAAUCAGUCGAAGAUACCAGCUGGCUGCAACUGUUUAUUAAAAACACAGCACUGUGCAAACACGAAAGUGGACGUAUACGGUGUGACGCCUGCCCGGUGCCGGAAGGUUAAUUGAUGGGGUCAGCGCAAGCGAAGCUCUUGAUCGAAGCCCCGGUAAACGGCGGCCGUAACUAUAACGGUCCUAAGGUAGCGAAAUUCCUUGUCGGGUAAGUUCCGACCUGCACGAAUGGCGUAAUGAUGGCCAGGCUGUCUCCACCCGAGACUCAGUGAAAUUGAACUCGCUGUGAAGAUGCAGUGUACCCGCGGCAAGACGGAAAGACCCCGUGAACCUUUACUAUAGCUUGACACUGAACAUUGAGCCUUGAUGUGUAGGAUAGGUGGGAGGCUUUGAAGUGUGGACGCCAGUCUGCAUGGAGCCGACCUUGAAAUACCACCCUUUAAUGUUUGAUGUUCUAACGUUGACCCGUAAUCCGGGUUGCGGACAGUGUCUGGUGGGUAGUUUGACUGGGGCGGUCUCCUCCUAAAGAGUAACGGAGGAGCACGAAGGUUGGCUAAUCCUGGUCGGACAUCAGGAGGUUAGUGCAAUGGCAUAAGCCAGCUUGACUGCGAGCGUGACGGCGCGAGCAGGUGCGAAAGCAGGUCAUAGUGAUCCGGUGGUUCUGAAUGGAAGGGCCAUCGCUCAACGGAUAAAAGGUACUCCGGGGAUAACAGGCUGAUACCGCCCAAGAGUUCAUAUCGACGGCGGUGUUUGGCACCUCGAUGUCGGCUCAUCACAUCCUGGGGCUGAAGUAGGUCCCAAGGGUAUGGCUGUUCGCCAUUUAAAGUGGUACGCGAGCUGGGUUUAGAACGUCGUGAGACAGUUCGGUCCCUAUCUGCCGUGGGCGCUGGAGAACUGAGGGGGGCUGCUCCUAGUACGAGAGGACCGGAGUGGACGCAUCACUGGUGUUCGGGUUGUCAUGCCAAUGGCACUGCCCGGUAGCUAAAUGCGGAAGAGAUAAGUGCUGAAAGCAUCUAAGCACGAAACUUGCCCCGAGAUGAGUUCU
rnacentral:rRNA from 1 species